rnacentral:rRNA from 1 species
UACGUAGGGGGCAAGCGUUGUCCGGAAUCAUUGGGCGUAAAGAGCGUGUAGGCGGCCCGAUAAGUCCGCCGUGAAAGUCCAGGGCUCAACCCUGGAAUGCCGGUGGAUACUGUCGGGCUAGAGUCCGGAAGGGGCGAGUGGAAUUCCUGGUGUAGCGGUGAAAUGCGCAGAUAUCAGGAGGAACACCGAUGGCGAAGGCAGGUCUCUGG